rnacentral:SRP_RNA from 1 species
UAUAUAUGCCAUUACAACAAUUACAUUCGAAUCUGGUCAGGACUGAAAAGUAGCAGCCAUAAGACUAAGAAUUGUGUGUAGUGGUUUUUUAUUAUU